ensembl:lncRNA
GUGAGGCCGCCCCAGGCACAGCACAGCCGCAGCGCUCCGCUGGCCGUCCGUCCCCGCCCUGCAGCGCACACAGCCGCGCACGGCGCCCCAGAGGCACCUCCUGGCAGCCCCGAGCGCUGUGUGACCCGCAGCUCCCUGCGGACGUUCAGCCCCUGCGCCUCACUGCACGCUGCACGAGGGCGCGCCCCUCUGCCUGCGGGUCCCGCUGUCGCCUGCAGAGCUGCUCGUGUCAGCAGCGGAUGGCAAAGGCGGCCGAGGGGUGAUGGGGGCUGCGCACAGCAGGGAGAUCUCACCAGGAAUAUGGAAACGUCGCUUUGGAGGAUGGAUGGCUGACCUCCAUCUGCUGGUGGCAGGAUGCAGCACAGUGGCUGUGCUAAUGCUGUCCUGGCUGCAGUGCCACACUUGGUGCAGCCUCUGCAAUAUUUAGGGUCCUGCCCAGGGCCAAGCAGCUUCUGGCUGGCCUGCAGCCGACCUGUGGGACCCAGUCAGCAGGCCACAGUGCAUGGAAUGCCCUUAGGAAAAACCAACAGGAUCAGUCCUCAAAGCAAAGCACAACUUGCAUUUGCCUUUGCCCCCACAAUAGACAGUAAAUAAAGGCAGUGAUCAAACAGGGCAGGACUUAGGGGGGCUGGGACAUCGCCCUGGGGGGAGCUGCUCCCACAGCAGGCUGCACAGCUCAGCAUGCAGGCGGGUCCUGAAUACUUCCAUUGAAGGAGACCCCACACCUCCCUGGGCAGCCCAUCCCAGUGCUCCAUCACCCUCGCCAUGAAGAAGUUCCUUCACAUUUUGGUGCGGAACUUCCUGUGCUCCAGUGUGUGGCCGUUUCCCCUUGUCCUGUCCCCACAGACCACUGAGAUGAGUCUUCCCCAGGCCGAGCAGCUCCACGUCACGCAGCCUUCCCCCACAGGGAGAUGCUCCAGGCCUUCUCAGCUCUGUUAUCAGGAUGCCAUGGGAGAUAACACCAAAAGCCUUGCUGACAUCCACUUGCACCAAAAGCCUUGCAGAUGACAUCCACUCCUCCCCCCGCACCUACCCGGCUGGUGAUGCCAUCAUAGAAGGCUACGAGGCACAGAGGGUACCUUCUUACUUCCUCAUCAACACAGCAAUUGGGGUUUCGUGAGUGGAACAAAUGUGCAACAGCCCCGAGCUGCGAGGAGGAGUCAGGAGAGAGAUUCCGUGCAGUGCUGCAGCACGGUGCAUCCGCAGGGCACUGCCCACAGCACCGUGCACUGCCUGCAGCACCGUGCACUGCCUGCAGCACUGAGCACUACCCGCAGCACCGUGCAUUCCCUGCAGCACCGUUCUCUACCUGCAGCACUGCGCAUGGCUCUCCCUGCAGUGCCCGCAGCGCCAUGAACUGUGUCCUGCUCUGCGUGCACUGUGUGCCACCUAUGCCGUGCACCGCCUGCAGUGCUAUGCAUGGCCCGCACACCGUGCUGCCUGCAGCUGCUUGCACCGCCCAGGGGAGAUUGCAGAGGGCAGAGCGCUGCUCAUUGUGCUCCUGUCCCCACUGCCGGCAUGCAGCCGCGCUGGAGCGGAGCUGCUCUGGAAGAACCAAAGGACAGUUCCCCCCCACCCCCGCCCUGUGCUCGGAGCUCAUCUCCCCGCUGCCGAUCAGCACAUUCAGUGCUUAAAAGGAAACGAGUCCGCUGUGCUGAUGGGAGAGCCCGGGAGGCGCCGUGCGACCCUGCUUGGCAGCUCCGGGAAGGGCACCGUGUCAGAGCUCCCCGUGCACAAUGCACAGCGCAGCGUGUACAAUGCACGAUGCAGGACGCAGGGAGAGCGGAGUGCCAUCUCUGUUGGGGACGGCCCCGUUUCCGUGGCAACCGAGAGGCUCCGGCGGCGGCCGCGUGGCCCCGGCAGAGGGCACUGCGCGUCCGUGGAUGCGGCGCG